GUAGUUCGGACUACAGGUGCAUGACAUCAUCCCUGGCUAAGAGAUAGCACCUCGCCAUGUUUCCCGGUCUGGUCUUGAACUCCUGGGCUCAAGCAAUCUUCUUGCCUUGGCCUCCCAGAGAGCUGGAAUUAUGGGAUUACAAACAUGAGUUACCAUGCCUGGCUGAUCCCAAUUUCUUCUGACUGGAAAGGACUCAGCCAAUUCUGAUCAGCAGGCAGCAGCCAUUACCCUCCGAAGGUCAGCGCAGUUAGGUGUGGUGACAGACACACUUGGAGGUGCCACAGCCUCCUGCGUGUCCUUGUACUCCUUGUCCAUUUGGUCGUCUUCACUGUGGGGCAUCUUCCUGGCCAACGAUAGCUCCAGACCAUCUUCAGGUGCUUGGCUGAAAACCCACAGAAGAAGUAGCUUGCUGUAGACGUCUCCUCUGCCUUCAGGGACCAGUUUUGGCAACGCGACAAGCUUGAUUUCUCAGACCGGCUAAUUGGUGACUCCUCCGCUCUGCCAACUUCCCUCUGAUACCUUCGCUUCUCUAGCUCCUCCCGCAACUGGCAAGGUCUCGUUCCUGUAAUAGAUCUCUCAUCGCAUGACCCAUUCUGGUUCUGCCCACCUGACGAACCCUGGAGGGUGCCCCUGAGUAUUACCAUCUGCUGCAGUGGGCAAUGUUCUCUGUCCCUUGAGGUUAUGGAAUUUCUGUCUUAUUCCACUUCAGAGAAGUAGAGUGUGUUCUAGCCCAGGAAGGACACUCACUCUGAUUUUGGCAGGUUCUAAAUCUGUCAUAACCUCACACAUCCAGUUAUUCAUGGACAAGGGAACAUGAGCUCAAUCUGACUUUAUGUUCUGCUUUUGGAGAGAAAGUGGGUGACCUGAUGUGUUUCUGAGAAACGAGUCUAGGGAGGUGUGUGCCCCACUCUCUGCUCGCUGCAGAUGUCCCCAUUGCAAGCACAUUUGUACCCCAGUGCUUGUCUUCACCUUUAUGACGUCCUCCCAGGUGAGAAAUCACCCAAGUGGUCAUGGCCACCUCCCACUAUUUCAGUGUUCGGGGUUUUGGAAAUGAUUUACUGACAUUGUAUCAGAGCAUAGUAACAUUUAAUCAGGGGCUGGCUUUCUCAAGGACAAAUAUUUUCUGCCAUCAGUUCCUAAGCAGAAGAGGCCAACAGCAUCUGAGGAUCCCUUUGUCUGGGUUUCUGGCAGUUACCUCCCUUCCCAGGGUGAACAGCGACUCCGUUGCGCAAGGAUUGACUUAUCUUCCUGCCCUGUGUUUCUGACAUUGUGAACAAAGUUUCUGGGGAAGUAAACUUUAUGUUUAAACCAUG